rnacentral:lncRNA from 1 species
UGAGGGGGAGUGUUGAGAUAAGGAGAUGAAGAGUUGAUACAUGGAUAGAGGAAGGGAUUUGGAGCAGGCAGUAACUUUGGAGAUUUACCACAGUAACUUCAUUGUUACUGUGGUAACUGAGUUAAAAGACUUGGAAAGUUACCUUGCAUACAUUUGGAGAGUGAAACACGCCAGGAGGAGUCUGGAUAAGCAAGGAGGAGUUUGGAUAAGGUCUAGUCAAGACUAGAGAGCUUUAGACAGGCUGGCACCAGCUGGAAAGCUAAAGCAAGAUACCCAAGCAUGUGAGGAACCUUAUUGGCUAGUUUGAAUGAAGCAUCUUUGACUACACAUGCUUCUGAUCCUAGCUAGACUGAACCUGGACGUUUCUAUGUAUCCCUAC